UGUAGGUAUAAAUUCUCUUUGGCGGCAAUCGAAAAAUUGGAAUCGCUGGCGCUUAGAAAUUUUAAUUUAAUUUGGUAAAUAAUCAAUUUUAAUCAUCACUUGCUCUGCGCCCGUAUACUUUAGAAAAUGGCAGAUGGUAUUACCAAUGAAGAACUUGAAAAGGAAAUUUCAAAAAUCCUUCAAGAUGCAAACUUGGCAGAAACUUCAACUCGAAAAGUUGUACAGAAGUUAGAAGAAAUAUUUGACACUGACUUAAGUGAUAAGAAGAAGGUUAUAGACCAACUUGUGAUGGACUAUGUGAACGGGCAGGAAUCAGAAAGUGAGGAGGAAAAGAAACCUGUGAAGAAAGCUGCAAAACCAAAGAAAGCACGCAAACAAAGCUCUGAUGAGGAAGAAGAAGAGGACGGUAGUAACGAAUGUGAUUCCGAGGAGGAGAAAAAGCCCGUUAAGAAAAGCAAGAAGGAUGAUGAUGAUUACAAAAAACCAGCAAAACGGGCCGCGCGGCCCGCAAAGAAGGCUCGCAAGGCAUCUUCUGAUGAAGAUGAAGACGCAUCUGAAGACAGUGACUCUGAAGAGGACAAGAAGCCAGCUAAAAAGAAGAGUGCGGCGAAAGGAAGUAAAGCGAAAGGCGGUAAGGGUGGUGGAUAUACACGGCCCUUACGGCUGUCUCCCGCACUGUCUGAACUGAUGGGUGCGGAGUCGAUGCCGCGCCACGAGGUGGUCAAACAAGUGUGGAACAUUAUCAAGACGAAGAACCUGUACGACCCCAACAACAAACAGUUCGCCAUCUGUGACGACGCGCUCUACAAGGUGAGACAGUCCUGUGUCCAGGUUGUGAGGGACGGGCAACAAGUGAGGAGCAUGAUCCAGACCAUAGACCUUAUGACCCCAACAAUAUACAGUUCGCCAUCUGUGACGACGCGCUCUACAAGGUGAGACAGUCCUGUGUCCAGGUUGUAAGAGCCGGUCAACAAGUGAGGAGCAUGAUCCAGACCAUAGACCUUAUGACCCCAACAAUAUACAGUUCGCCAUCUGUGACGACGCGCUCUACAAGGUGAUUGGCACGAAGCGAUUCAGAACGUUUGGCAUGAUGAAGUAUCUGAAGACACAUUUCCUAGACUAGGUGACACAUCUACGUGAUACAACUAAUUAUUGUCAUCAAUAUAUUGUGAAAUUCAGUUUCUGUUAAUUAAGUAUUCACAGGGUUUGUUAAAUCAGUAUAAAUGCUUGUUAAAUCUACUUUAAUAAUUUUAGCCUAUUAUAUUUAAUGUGAUUAUUAAACAGAGACUAAUAAAUAAAUUACUGAGGUAAGUCAUUUGGAUGAUUUGAAGCUAUUUUCUUAUGCUUAUAUUAUUAAUAUUUUGAACCUUCUUGUAUCAUGUACGCAGGUAUAUGCAUAUGAGUGUAUUUAAUAUGAAAAAAAAAACAAAUUUAAUAUCAAGAACAAAAAAAAAUUAUAAAAUAGACAAAUUCUAAUUCUUACAUAAUAUUAUGUAUCAUAUUCUAAAUAUUAAUUAGGUGUGUGACGCUACCAUAACGUAACAUUAUUUUCUUCAUAAAUUGAUUAUGAUUUUGUCGUUGGUGUUAUUGUCAAUCAAUUAUAUUAUGUCUAUACUUUAGUGAUAGCUAUAGCAUAGCUUUUACAAAAAGGAGUUGAAAUAAAAAAAAACUCAUCGGAGACAAUAAAAUGAGACAUAAUAUCAACAAAAUUGAUUCAUGACCCCACUGUGCUGAUAUUUCUAUUAAAUCAUAAAAACAGGUUUAUAUUUGCACGAAAAACAUUGUAUGGCAAUUGGUGGACGGUCAGUGUAUAAUAAAAUGAUAACAGUUACUUAGGAAAUGUAUAUUCAAGCGAAUUUCGACCUAAUUGUUUAUUAUGACUGUAGGAAAAUGAAAAUAAGGUGGGUCACGAAUAAAUUUUGUCGAUAGUAUCUUUAUAUAUUAUAAUAAUUAGGUCGUAAUACUAUUAUGUCAAAUUAAAGUAAACAUUAUUUUUAUUAUAAACUUAGUUUAAGUGAGAUAAACGAGGAUCUAAGUAAUUGUUAGUCCAGCUAGUUUAUUAGGAUCUACGUUAUAUGGAAUCAUAUAAGAAAAAUUAUUAGCUCGUGAAUAUAUGUCAUAAUUGGACAUAGUUCCCGAAAAACGUUCCAAUCCACAAACAUCACAUUUUAAGAAAUUCGUGUAUUAAGUACCUUCAAAAAAAGCGCGUACACCUUCCUUAAAGGCCGGCAACGCUCUUGUGAUUCCUCUGGUGUUGCAAGAGAAUGUGGGCGGCGGUGAUCACUUAACACCAGGUGACCCGUAGGCUCGUUUGUCCUCCUAUUCCAUAAAAAAAAAACGUUUUAUAAAUAUUAGUGUAUUCCAUACAAGUGGGUUGGGCUACUAAGUCAUGGUGUCAUUUAAAGAGUGACAGUAGGGCUGCCAUGUUUUUCAGUCCGUUAAUAUGAAUGACAUGAUUGUGGUUUGGAACUUUUUUCUGGAAUUACGUCAAAUUGAUGUUGCUUUUACCUCAAACGAGGUAAAUUAUUGGUGACUAAUUAUUUACAUCUAUGAGGUAUAUUAUACUAUAUAUUUUAAACUAUUAACUAUUUACUGAUAUUUUGAGAUCGAUUUUGUUUUAAAAGUUUCAAGAAGUAUUGUAUUGUAGUAAAUAAAACUACUUUAUAAGUAGCAUAUUUUUCGUUCCUAUAAUGUUUGUCUUCUGUUAUUGACGCUAUCAAUAAUGUAGUCGGUAUGUAAUAGUGAAUUAAUUCCGCUAUUUGAGAUAUGACAAAAAAUAAUGAAGAUCUGUAAAGGUUUUAGUGGUAACGUCAUUUUUGCGGCCAGUUAUGAACCCGACUAAUCAACUGGUUCGGACUUGUUUACUGUUUACGGUGAACCAGUGAGCACGAACGCGUGGUGCGAGCCGUUACUCGCCCGAUAAAAAUAGAACAAAAUGGAUUAACUUGAAUAAUUAUUACUAACCUACUCAACUAAAUUAUUUACUAACUCACUCUAACUCUCGACUAAAUUUUUGGUGUUCAGACACAUUUAGCUACUAAAUUACUCGGCACUCGACUAAAAUACUCGUCUAGUCCGAACUACGCUUUAGGGAGCUAAGUAAUCCUUAAUAUACAGUGCUAAAAUUUUUGUUGUGCGACAAAAAUUUACGAAUUCUAAUUUGAAUUGAAUUUGUUUAUAACAUUACUGAUCCUCAUUGUAAGUGGUCAUAAUAUGCUAAGCUGAUAAUGUAACGUGAUUUUAAUAUACGUUAUACGUCCAUGCAUGAAUAAAUUACCUACGUAUUUUUCAAGCUACUCUCACCUUGGAGAUAAGAAAUGUGAGAUUUUGCUGGUAUGGGCUUUUCAUAAUGUAGGUAUAUAUUAAAUCUAAUUAACUUUAUUUUUGUUGCUUGCGUUGGAUUUUUCUAAAUACAUACUCGACAUCAUUGCAAAUAGUCAAUAGAUUUAGCUAAAGUUGUUAUAUCAGCUUUUAUUUGACAUGUUGCGUUUUUCGAGCUCAUCAACUUAGAUUUUCUAAAGUUUUCAUGUUAUUUGGUUGGCUCCAUUGUAUUUGUUUCAUGAGGAAUUGUUUGCAUCUUUGCUUCGUGUUUUAUACAGUCCCCGAAUCCCUACAAGACUGUAUUUUUUCCAGCUAUCACCCCAAAAAUACUAUUUCUCGCACUUGUCCCCCCCUCUUUUUGGAGGGAUUCCCCCGCUACGGCUUCAGUGAAUGAGCGCACACAUCACAGGUUAAUAUUAUAUCGUUAAAUAAAAAUAAAAGUGGGUAUAUAGGAAUAUCUCAUACUCAACCAUAAUAUUGCACAUCCCUAAAGCUUUUAGUAAUAAGGGCUUCACCAAUUUGAGGGUUAUACCAAUAGAAUUUGUAUCUUUACUUAAAACUUAAAUUUUGUAUCACCCCAGUUAUAAUUAAAUACUUUCUGCAACCUAUCUAUAUUACAAUCAAUAGCUGUUAUUGGUCUGUUUUAGAGUUUGGACCUAUUUAAUGGUAUAUCUCACUUGAUGUCUGUAUUUCACAUUAGUCUGACGGUUUUGGGGACUUUUAUAUUUAGGACCGACCCCAGAGAGAGUGAGAGAUUAGUCAUGCCUUUGACUGAGUUGCUCUCAAUAGCUCUAAUAUUUGACAAUCUGUUGUGUUUUAAUAUACUGGCUCCUUUGCUUAUUUUAAUAUCUUUUUCUUUAUGAAAAUACGGGACGAGACGAGCAGGACGUCCACCUUAUGGUAAUUGAUAUGAUUACAAUGCAGUGCCGUUCAGGAUUCUUGAAAAGCCCAAAAAUUCUGAGCGGCACUACAAUUGCGCUCGUCUCCUUGAGACAUAAGAUGUUAAGUCUCAUUUGCCCAGUAAUUUCACUAGCUACAGCGCCCUUCACACCGAAACACAGUAAUGUUUACAUAAUACUGCUUCACGGCAGAAAUAGCCGCCGCUGUGGUAGCCAUAAUCUAGCCGGCAUCCGUUGCGAGCCUCCCACUUUUAACAUCUUAUACAACAAAUCAAUAGAAUCCUCUCCAAUCAAUGUAUGAUUUUGGCUCGUCUGAUCAUCCAUUUUUGAUGGUAUUCAAUGAUGUAUACAAUUUGUAAUACUAUCCUAUUACUGUGUAUAACCAUUCGCUUAUUGGAGAUGAAAAACUGCCAAUAACUAAUAAUGAAAUAACUAUGUAAACUCAUUAAUAUUUGAUCAUUUAUCUUUAAUCUUGAUUUUUUCUAUUACAUAGUUUCUUGGUUGUUUCAGGAUUAAAACUAUUACGUUAUUACUUAGGUGGUAUUUUAUUUUAGUGUUCAUAAUAUAAUCGUUAUAAUAAUAAUGUUUAUUUUCCAAUAUAAUUGAAAAUAUGUAUUUUGUUUCUUUUUUAUAAAUACAAAUUAGUAGAUCAGUUCGAGUAUAGAUUAACCCCCUUAUUCAUAAUAGUCUGCUAACUUAAAGCAUUGCUAAUUCACACUCUGUCUUCUUCUAUUGACCUAAGUGAGAAUGAGAAAAAACACUCCUUAACGGCUGUUUAAAGUUAGCAGACCAUUAUGAAUAAGGGGGUUAGAAUAAGAAAUUGUGGAAUACUGUGAUUGUAAACCUCAUAAAAUAGAUUUUAGUUUAAUAAUUAAGUUGUGCUACUACAGUUGUGAUUUGAAAAUAAAAAGAUUCAAAAAAG